CUGCUGGUUAGACUACAGCAAUACAUCCACCGUAAGAAUAUUUCCUUCGGAUUCCUUCCUCUCUCUCACACACACACACACACACACCACACACUGGCAUGGAUUAAACGGUAAAAAGUAAAAGUACUGGAGUUUGUCUUCUUCCGCUCCCGGGUUUUCACAGAUCCUCAAAACAUUUCGGUCUACGUUCAAGCCGGUCGUGUCUGAUUUGACUAAAAUGACUUCUGGUACUGUUGCCGUGAUGUUGCGGUUCACCUAAACAUGUGCCAGCGUGACCAACAGUGGACAGGAGGAGACCACUUCUAUAGCCGCGACCACCUGCACAUCAGGCGGUGUCAUGGCUCAUCGGUUUCUGGACCGUCUGAAAAGGUCACUACUGAAAGAUCAGUUGGUGGGAAUCCAGCGGGUGGAAGGGGAAGGAGACAUAGCCAGGAAAGAAGAGGAGGAGCUUAAUGACAACCGCUGGGAGGCGGAGCUUGCAGAGGACGAGUGCGUGACCGAUCGACUGGUGGGGACACUGUGCUUCAGCAGUGAAGUGGGAGAAGCUGAAGUGGUGGACGGUGAUGAGGGGGAGGAGUCGGAGCCCGAUAGUGACUCUGACUUCCAGUCCGAGUCCGUGGAGGAGGGGCUUAGCAGCACAGACACCAGUUCCAGUGGUCUCUCUCCAGUAAGCCCCUCCCCUUCUGCUGUGACACGCCAGCUUCAGGAAAGAUGGAGGAACCUGCGUGGCCUCAGAGCAGGAAACCCCGUGGCCUCUGGAAAAAGGAUUUUGAGCAGUUUGUUGUUUGAGGUGACCGAUGCGAGUGUGGUGCAGGAUGGUUCAUCGAAGUACGUGCUCUACACCAUCCAGGUGUGUCAGUCAGGUGGCAGUGAUAAAACUCCAGCUGUCAUUACUAGUCGAUAUUCUGACUUCCAGCGUCUUCAUGCUACACUGCGGCGUAAUCACGGGGACCAGAUGGCCGGCAUUUGUUUUCCACGAAAAAAGUUGAGGAGUAACUUCACCGCAGAGACGAUCGCUAAAAGAAGUCGAGCUUUUGAACAGUACUUGUACCACCUGUGUUCACUGGAUAUCCUGAAGGGGGCGCUGUGUGUGCGACACUUCUUUUACUUGAAUGAUCUUCAGACUGGUCAGCUGUUCAUAAGGGUUGGCCGUUACCAAGAUGCUCUCGGGCCGCUGCUCAAUGCCAAGAGACUACAAGAAAAACUAGGCUGGGCUACUUUCUACGACAGCCAGACACAAACCCCGCCUCUGGGCUCAACUCAUUGGUUCUUUACUCUUGUUGGACUGGCCUGCUGCUUCCAGGAAGAGGAGCAGCUGGAGGAGGCGUGGUCUCACUGCGACCUGGCCCUGCACGUCUUAACACCGGCUGAGAUCGAUCUAGCAGAGCACACGCCCACCCUCCCUACACUUGCUCACAGGCCACACCCCUUGCUGCAGCCGCUCUUAAGAGCUGUUGUCCGCCUCUCCUGGCAGAUAGGGCGGGACAAACAGAGGUGGGAGGAGCUUUUGCAGCAGCUGGACGAGCAGUGGGCAGAUCACAUCACUGUGGCGACCAAUCUGGAAACCAGCACGUCAGCAACCAUGGAAACAGCAGUUUCUAUAGAGACGGUCGGGAAGCAGGAGAGAGCGUAGUCAUGGUCACAGUUAUGUCACUCAACGUUAACAUCUGACCACACACCGACUGAUACGAACGGGGAAUUUCUGGCUUUUUUUCCGAAAAGUGGCUGCUUGUCAAGCUCUUCAUGACGAACCGAAGCUGCCGUGCUCGAAACCCUUCGUUGAAUUAUCUUUCACUCACCUUUAUUCGAGUGCAACGGCAGCCCAUUCUGAUGCUUCCUCUGAGAGUGAGAUGACAGAGGGGAGAAGGAGGGAUGGAGGGUGAAAAGAGGGGGAAAAAUGUUAAGAGUCACAAUGAAGAGGUGGAGGACAGAAGAACGACAGAAGCUGCAGGGAUGAAAAAGGGGGGAUGAGAGCAGAGAGAGGGAAACAGGAAACGGGGAGAGACGCUCUGGUCAUGCAAGCACGUCGGCUGCUGCUUCUGGUGCCGCUGGUGCGGAGGAAACUACAGCUCCCAUGAUGCCGCGGUGUAAACAUCUGAAUGGCAACGCGAGCUUCAUCAGCACCGCUCUUGUGUUUCUCAGUGCUGGUAAAAAAAAAAAAAAAUGGAUGAGGAGGAUGGAAACGCAGCUUAGGAAUUCAGAGAGAGAGAGAGAGAGAGAGAGAGAACUUCUAUAAGUAGAACUGUUUUGGUGAGAGAGUUUCUUCUUUGUCUUUCUUCACAUGUUAAAAUUUCACAAUCUUUCUCUUUCUCUCUCCCUCUCCCCCCUCUCUGCAUCUCAGAUUUUGUCGGCUAAUCAAAAAUCUUGGAUAGGAGGAAGAGGAGGAGGCAGACGAUCUGAUUGGCUGAGAACAGGGGUCACCAAAAUUGAUCAUCUUCGUCCACCCUGUCCAUCCUGGUCACUUUGAGAAAACACCAAGAGAGCAUCAUCGCCCCGUGGACCCUGAUCACAGAUGGAGGUGCAGGCGAUGCUUUUUUCCCCUCACGGGGCUCCGUAAACAUGAACUGUUGAAAGGCCAGAUUCAACACUCCCGUGGGCCAGUUCAGGCCUGCGGGCCAUAUGUUUGACACCCCUGCACUAGACCACCACCUGUUGCUAUAUCUCAGUAAGUCUGUGAAAGACCUAAGGUAAACUAUCUACUUCAGACGGCUCUGAAAAAUGAGAUCGGAAAUGAUGCAACCUCUCUUGGUCCAGUCAGUUCAAAAUGAAGUGGUUUGGAGGUCAGAGUUGAAAUCUUGCCAGAUCGUCUCUCUGGCUGAGAGGGAUGUGGAGAAAGAGCUGAGGCUGUCAUCGUUGGCAGGGUGAGUUCAGCCAUCAGUGUUAGCUGGAACAGGAAGUGGAGCCAACAAAGCGGUUGUACUUUGGAUGUUUUUUGGGUCUGGAGUGUUACACUGGGCGCAGUAUUUGAUGAGAAGAGCAUCGUGGCGGGGGGAAAGUUUUUUUUUUUUUCUCUCUCUUCAUAGUCGUACUUGUGUACAACUACUAGACAGAGGACGACGUAGUGUGACUUAAGGUACCAGGUACAAACAGGCUUUAAUUUACGCUACACUGAGAAAAUAAGCAGAGGUUGGACGGAAAACACGAGAAAAGUGUAAAAAAAAAAAAACAAAAGAACUGUGAACCUUUCUUUAAUCUGUCGCUCUCCCACAUUUCAGUUAGAAAGGAGCAUGUCCCAAUGGGCUGCUAUUGGGAAUUGGGAUGAGAACACAUAAGAACACUUGUUUCCUUUCUCUCUCUCUCUCUGUCUUUCUCUCUGUCUCUCUCUCCCCCACACCUGUCUUUUCCCUCUCUUUUCUUCCUUUUUUCUUCCUUCUUCCCACUUCUCCUUCCUCCCCCUCUCGUCUGUAAUGAGGAGAUGAUUUCCCAGCUGCAUACACAAUAUUACCAUGAUGAAGCCCGAGGAGGGAAACACCCAUUGGUUCUUGGAACUUCAGCCUCGCCUUACUUCACUCAGCCGUUCUGUUUCAUAUAAAAAAAAAUUGUUUAAAAAAAAAAAAAAA